ACAUGAAGGGCAGCUGCGUGCAGCUUCAGACCACAGACACUGCUGUCAGUCUGAAGACUCUGAAUGAUUUCCUCAGGGAAGUCUCAGUUCCAGCCUUAGUGCAGUGUACUCCGAGCAGUACUCAGUGCUCUGUUUUGAGGAUUACUUACAGACUACACAGUGCUGUGACCUAGAUGUUCCAAGAAUAAGAGCAUGCAGUUGAGAUCUUGUUAUUUUCAAGGUUCCCAAAGGACCUAUUAACAGCAGACUUUUAUGGAACGUGGUUAAUGGUUAAACUGGUGAAAAUAACUGCACAAGUUAUACGGUGGACAUACUCCCUGACUGGUACAACUCUGGCAACACUGUUCACCUUGGAGUUUCUGGUGCUUCAUCAGCACAACAUCCCCAGCAGGUCCUGUGCAAACAUAGAUUUCUCAUCCAGGGAUCAUGAAGAGCUGCACUGAUUUGUUCCAGAGCAACAUUUCUCCACAUUUCUAACCAUCUUGAGAUAAGCAGUCAGGAGACUGCAGAUCAAGGCUGGUGGAGCAGGGCAAGGCAUUCCUAUUCCCAUAGACAUAAUGGUGAAAGUUCAGCAGUUACCAUAGUGUUUGUGACCUAAUCACCUCUCUUAAUGUUCAACUGGAAGUGAUAAUAAAGACAGAGUUCAAAACCCAACUGAGAUGAAGGGAUCCUUGGAUAUUUGUCACACGAGAACAAAAGGAAGUCCCUUGUUCUGAGGUGUACAGCAAAAUGCAUGAGACGAGUUAAAGUGCAUCAGGUGAAGCUGGACUGAACAGGAAUCAAGGAUCACAGAGAAAACGUGCUUGAGCCAAACUCAGCUGAAGCCUAGAUCAAUCCAAAUAACUUCUUUCAAACAUGGCUUUCAAGAUAAGAAGAGAAAUAUGGUAUUGAUUUGCCUAGUAAAAGGGACACCCUCAAACACGCGGAAUCCAUCUCUGCUUGUCACUCAGUGCUGCUCUGCCUUUUGGACAAGGCUGCUUGUAUGUGUGAAGUUAUUCAGCAAAAACAUAUUGCCAAGCCUGAAGAUUAGAGCCAGCUUCAGAAAGCCAUUUAACAAAGAGCUGGAAAGAAGCAGCAUCUCUACAUGGACUUAUCAGGAAGCUUAUGCAUCAGAUACUCAAUGCAAGUGCUAAGCAAGGAGGCAGUGUUGACUGAACAGCCACAGUAAGCACUGUAGGGAAAAACCUGCAGCUGAGGCUGGAUACUUUGUUCUGGUAUCUGAGUUCAAGGAGUGGAUACACUGAAAGAACAUCAGAGAAAAUUACUCAGGUUUCCAGCUGAAAUAUUGCUCAGAAGAUGGAAUGUCACUACAAAUCCUGGUCUCUAAUCAGCGCUCUUUUUUCUCUCUCACUUGAAUAAUUUAGUUACUAAGAAAUUAAGUUUAAUUUAACAUGCAGUUUGCCUAAAAUCCUCCUUGCUUUAUUUUCUUUCUUAAGAUAGAUAUGUGCAGAGGCUGAGGGCAUUGGGUUGCAUAUCCAAGUAUAAUAUGAGGUACCCUAAUCAAACUUACUGAUAUGAUGAUCCGUGCUAGUAACUGACAUUUCAAACUUUCAGAACAUCUUAAAACUUUCUCUGCUAUCUGCAGUUUCCUGCAGAAAGAAAAAGCCAAGGGUUCCAACUCACCAUUAGGUGGUGCCCCUGUCAUUCAUUU
rnacentral:lncRNA from 7 species